UGGCUCAGAUGGUAAAGCGUCUGUCUAUAAAGCAGGAGACCCGGGUUUGAUCCCUGG
rnacentral:tRNA from 1 species